AAGGAUCAUUAUUGAAUGAACAUGGAGUUUGGUUGGUUGCUGGCCCCUUUAUUGGGGCAUGUGCACACCUCCUCUAUUCAUCCACACACACCUGUGAACUUGUGAGACGGAUAGUAGCCCUCUCGGGGGCGAGGUCCGUCUGCUAUACAUAAACUCCAGUAUAUAAAUUUGAAUGUCAUUUGAUGUAACACAUCUAUAAACU
rnacentral:misc_RNA from 1 species